rnacentral:rRNA from 1 species
UACGGGGGGGGGCAAGCGUUGUUCGGAAUUACUGGGCGUAAAGGGCUCGUAGGCGGCCAACUAAGUCCGACGUGAAAUCCCCAGGCUUAACCUGGGAACUGCGUCGGAUACUGGUUGGCUUGAAUCCGGGAGAGGGAUGCGGAAUUCCAGGUGUAGCGGUGAAAUGCGUAGAUAUCUGGAGGAACACCGGUGGCGAAGGCGGCAUCCUGGACCGGUAUUGACGCUGAACAGCGAAAGCCAGGGGAGCAAACGGG